rnacentral:RNase_MRP_RNA from 14 species
AUGGGAAAUUCCCCGAAUGUAAUCACAGAGAUGUGACUUGGGAGACUGAGUCCGGUAGUAUGGCCGCUUCUGCGACGACUGCUUAUUAUUAUCAAGCAAGAGCAUUUUGAAGCAGGCCUGCUACCGCCAUUCGAGCAAAGUUAUGCUAAAUUAACUCAACGGGGAUUACUCUCA